rnacentral:rRNA from 1 species
GUGGGGAAUAUUGCACAAUGGGGGAAACCCUGAUGCAGCGACGCCGCGUGAGUGAAGAAGUAUUUCGGUAUGUAAAGCUCUAUCAGCAGGGAAGAAAACAAUGACGGUACCUGACUAAGAAGCCCCGGCUAACUACGUGCCAGCAGCCGCGGUAAUACGUAGGGGGCAAGCGUUAUCCGGAUUUACUGGGUGUAAAGGGAGCGUAGACGGUAGACCAAGUCUGAAGUGAAAGCCCGGGGCUCAACCCCGGAACUGCUUUGGAAACUGGUAAACUAGAGUGCAGGAGAGGUAAGUGGAAUUCCUAGUGUAGCGGUGAAAUGCGUAGAUAUUAGGAGGAACACCAGUGGCGAAGGCGGCUUACUGGACUGUAACUGACGUUGAGGCUCGAAAGCGUGGGGAGCAAACAGGAUUAGAAACCCUAGUAGUCC